GGCUUAUAAUUGAAGUCUGGCAUGAAAGAAUCUACGGGUAGUCACUGUCUUCGUUGGUUUUUCUGAACUUCCUUAAGAGGUGAAAAUGCCUUUAGAUAUAAAAUAGACGAGAAGACCCUAGAAAUUUUUUACAUAUUUAGAUUGAUCUAUUUUCUAUUUUGUUGGGGCGACAGAAUAACAUUUAACUUAUUUUAUUAAUGAGCACUAUGUAAUGUGAGAAAAGAAAUUACUCUAGGGAUAACAGCAUAAUUUUAUUAGUUUGUGACCUCGAUGUUGGACUAGGGAUUUUAUUAACCAGCAGUUAACUGAACAUGCUCUGU
rnacentral:rRNA from 1 species